AUUGAACGCUGGCGGCAUGCCUUACACAUGCAAGUCGAACGGUAACAGGUCUUCGGAUGCUGACGAGUGGCGAACGGGUGAGUAAUACAUCGGAACGUGCCUAGUAGUGGGGAUAACUACUCGAAAGAGUGGCUAAUACCGCAUGAGAUCUACGGAUGAAAGCAGGGGAUCGCAAGACCUUGUGCUACUAGAGCGGCCGAUGGCAGAUUAGGUAGUUGGUGGGAUAAAAGCUUACCAAGCCGACGAUCUGUAGCUGGUCUGAGAGGACGAUCAGCCACACUGGGACUGAGACACGGCCCAGACUCCUACGGGAGGCAGCGGUGGGGAAUUUUGGACAAUGGGCGAAAGCCUGAUCCAGCAAUGCCGCGUGCAGGAUGAAGGCCUUCGGGUUGUAAACUGCUUUUGUACGGAACGAAAAGCCCCGGGUUAAUACCCUGGGGUCAUGACGGUACCGUAAGAAUAAGCACCGGCUAACUACGUGCCAGCAGCCGCGGUAA
rnacentral:rRNA from 1 species